UUUGGCCAAGUGAUGGCUCUGCCUCCACUGAUGACACCUUAGAGGAAGGGAGAGGGGAGACCGCUGAGUCUCAGAGGGUAUGUGAGAGGUAAAAACAUACACUAGAAACGUGGGAUUAUUUUUCAGCGAGUGAUCAACGCUCAUCUGCAUUCCUGAGGAAACGGGUGAUGUGGGGGAUAAUCCAGAAAGGCAUGUUGUCUGAGAGGCACUGACAUUGGCCUUCUGAUAAAUGAUGAAACAGCUCCAGCCUCAGAUUUGUCCUCCUAAUUACAUUUGGCUCUGACCAAGAGGGAAAUGAAUCCACCUACCCUGUCACUCACCUGCCAGGUCUUCUGGAGGCCUGAUGAGCCUCAGGAAAGAGGGCCCUGUGUAAUUUGGGGAGAAGUGGCCCAUUUCAGAUAAUGUUUAAAAAGGUUGGAUAAUUAAGAGUUGGUAGAAAUACGGUAAUCUCCCUGGCAAGACUCCAUGCAACCGUCUCUGGUUCUGCAAGUGGACAGAAAGAAUACUGGGGCUAUUGCUUGGAAAACUCUGGCCCUUGAUCUUCCUUGACAAAGGCAACGUUUGAGAAGGGCCUUCAGGCCUGGCCCUCCUGUUCUAUGCUUCGUGGCUGGCACAUGGCUGAGCCCCAAGAAUUCCCCACGUCAGCAGCCAAAUUAACAGGAUCUCCUCUAACAUGUGUGAAAGCACCCAGCUCUGGGCCCGAGAAAGGAAACUGAGACCUAGACAGAUUAAAUGGUGUGCCCAAGAUCAUGUGCUGACUUGGUGGCCGAAGAAGGUUUAGAACCUGGAGAGCCGGACUCCUGGCCUGGAACCUACAUCUUCCUCUC